GUGCUAAGGUAGCAUAAUCAUUUGCUUCUUAAUUGGUAGCUGGAAUGAACGGUUAAACUGUCUUAGUACGUGUGUUAGCUUAAAUAGAAAAUUAAAGUCAAGGUAAUAAUUCUUUGAUGCUCUAGGGGACGAUAAGACCCUAUAAGCUUAACAAGCUUAAAGUAAAUUUUGUGGUAUAGGUUAUUUUGUUUUAUUGGGGCGAUAUUGGUGAGUUAGCCGCCACACUAGUUAAGAUCCCUAACAUUUGGAUAGAGCGUAAAAGUUACUUUAGGGGUAACAGUGUUAUAUACUUGGAGAGACCUUAUCGAUAAGUGUGCUUGCUACCUCGAUGUUGAAUUA
rnacentral:rRNA from 1 species